UCCUGGUCGGACAUCAGGAGGUUAGUGCAAUGGCAUAAGCCAGCUUGACUGCGAGCGUGACGGCGCGAGCAGGUGCGAAAGCAGGUCAUAGUGAUCCGGUGGUUCUGAAUGGAAGGGCCAUCGCUCAACGGAUAAAAGGUACUCCGGGGAUAACAGGCUGAUACCGCCCAAGAGUUCAUAUCGACGGCGGUGUUUGGCACCUCGAUGUCGGCUCAUCACAUCCUGGGGCUGAAGUAGGUCCCAAGGGUAUGGCUGUUCGCCAUUUAAAGUGGUACGCGAGCUGGGUUUAGAACGUCGUGAGACAGUUCGGUCCCUAUCUGCCGUGGGCGCUGGAGAACUGAGGGGGGCUGCUCCUAGUACGAGAGGACCGGAGUGGACGCAUCACUGGUGUUCGGGUUGUCAUGCCAAUGGCACUGCCCGGUAGCUAAAUGCGGAAGAGAUAAGUGCUGAAAGCAUCUAAGCACGAAACUUGCCCCGAGAUGAGUUCUCCCUGACCCUUUAA
rnacentral:rRNA from 1 species